UUGGAAGCAGCCAUUCAUUUAAAGAGUGCGUAACAGCUCACUAGUCGAGGAGUUUGGCGUGGAUAAUAAUCGGGCAUUAAGCAAUUUACCGAAGCUAUGGGAUCAGUAAUGAUCGGUAGGGGAGCAUUCCACUCCGCGUCGAAGGUGAAGCGUGAGCUUUGCUGGAGCGUGUGGAAAAGCAAAUGUAGGUAUAAGUAACGAUAAAGGGGGUGAGAAACCCCCUCGCCGAAAGACUAAGGUUUCCUGAUCAACGCUAAUCGGAUCAGGGUUAGUCGGGUCCUAAGGCUCAGCCGAACGGUGAGGCCGAUGGCAGAACAGGUUAAUAUUCCUGUACUACCUUAAAGAGUGACGUGGAGACGGAGCAGUGAUAGCGCCGCGGACUGACGGAAUAGUCCGUUGAAGGGUGUAGAUGUUGAUCUUUGCAGGCAAAUCCACAAAGAGAGUCGAACCUGAUAGUAUGGAGCGUUCUUCGGAACAAUCCAAUAGUGCGUGUAAGCAUACUCCCAAGAAAAUCCGCUAAACUUAAUCUUUAAGGUACCCGUACCGCAAACGGACACACGUAGUCGGGUUGAAUAUACUAAGGCGCUUGAGUGAUUCACGGUUAAGGAACUAGGCAAAUUGACCCUGUAACUUCGGGAUAAAGGGUCCCAACGAGAGUUGGGCGCAGAGAAUAGGUCCAGGCAACUGUUUAACAAAAACACAGGGCUGUGCCAAAUUGAAAGAUCACGUAUACAGCCUGACACCUGCCCGGUGCUGGAAGGUUAAGAGGAGAUGUCAUCGCAAGAGAAGCAUUGAAUUGAAGCCCCAGUAAACGGCGGCCGUAACUAUAACGGUCCUAAGGUAGCGAAAUUCCUUGUCGGGUAAGUUCCGACCUGCACGAAUGGUGUAAUGAUCUGGACACUGUCUCAACCGUGAGCUCAGUGAAAUUGUAGUAUCGGUGAAGAUGCCGAUUACCCGCGAUGGGACGAAAAGACCCCGUGAACCUUUACUAUAGCUUAACAUUGAAUUUGGGUAAUUGAUGUGUAGGAUAGGCCGGAGACUUUGAAGCGCAGACGCCAGUUUGUGUGGAGUCGCUGUUGAAAUACGGCCCUUUGAUUAUUUGAGUUCUAACCCGUUGUAACGGGGACACUGUUUGGUGGGUAGUUUGACUGGGGUGGUCGCCUCCAAAAGUGUAACGGAGGCUUCUAAAGGUGCCCUCAGGACGAUUGGUAACCGUCGGCAGAGUGUAAUGGCAUAAGGGCGCUUGACUGGGAGACAUACAAGUCGAUCAGGUAGGAAACUAGAGCAUAGUGAUCCGGUGUUUCCGUAUGGAAGGGACAUCGCUCAAAGGAUAAAAGGUACUCCGGGGAUAACAGGCUGAUCCCUCCCAAGAGCUCAUAUCGACGGAGUGGUUUGGCACCUCGAUGUCGGCUCGUCACAUCCUGGGGCUGGAGAAGGUCCCAAG
rnacentral:rRNA from 1 species